UACGGAGGGAGCUAGCGUUGUUCGGAAUUAUUGGGCGUAAAGAGCUCGUAGGCGGUUUGUUGCGUCGGCUGUGAAAUCCCGAGGCUCAACCUCGGGUCUGCAGUCGAUACGAGCAAACUAGAGUGUUGCAGGGGAGACUGGAAUUCCUGGUGUAGCGGUGAAAUGCGCAGAUAUCAGGAGGAACACCGGUGGCGAAGGCGGGUCUCUGGGCAACAACUGACGCUGAGGAGCGAAAGCGUGGGGAGCGAACAGG
rnacentral:rRNA from 1 species